rnacentral:lncRNA from 1 species
CUACCUUCUACCUAUAUAAACAUAAUUAGAAAAACCUAAGGGAGAAGGAGAAUUUUUUCAUAUUGAAACCCCUGCAGAGGAGCUUCUUCUCUGCUUCACUUCCUCCCCACUUAUACAAGCAUAUACACUAAAUAACACACAAAAACAACGGAGAUCAAAGAAAAAAAAGAAAUCAUCUGCUGAAAUCUACAAAAAACAGUUAAAGUAGCAAAGACCAGAAGAAAUUUUCAUUGAAGAAAGGAAAGCAAAUUUGUGCUUGAAUUUCAUUUGAAGAUGAAGUGUUCAUCGUCAAUUUCUUGGCAUUCUGAGAGCUGUUUGGAGCUUAAACUAGCUGUCACUCACUUAAAUUGUUGCUGAAAUCCAUCUUUCAUUUUCCUGGUCUUUAUUUAGUUCAGAUCUAUUUUCCUUGUCCCUUUUGAGGUAACUUCGAUAAUUUCUCAAUGUAUUUGAGUUUAUGAUGAUGUAGUCUAUUUUAUUGAGGGAACUGAAAUACCUUCUUUGAAUUCCUUUGAUGAGACCUAAUUAGCUCUUUAAUUUUAGUUUUGUGAUGUAAAUCUGAAUGUUCAAGAAAUGGAAUUAAGCUGCAAUUAGUUUAUCGUUCUUAUGUCUAUUGGACCAGGGUGAGUGACCCGUGUGGGUUUUAGCAGUAUCUCUGUCCGUCACUGCUUCUUGAUUAUUUCCGCAGUUGUUUUGUUGACGGGAAUAGCUAAGGCCAAACAACUUUUCAAAUUUGGGAAUAGCCCAUGUGAGUCAGUUCAUAAAAUUUGUGCCAAAUCAAAUAAAAAUCAAUUUUGUUGUCCAUUAUCUCCAUGUGGAAUCCCAAAUAGGACUUAAUCAAUGAUAAGGAGUUUGUUACAUUGGAUCCUGACCGGGUAAAGGAUUACUUAGAUCGCAUACAGAAUUACAGCAAAGAAUGAAGUUAUGUGCUCUUACCUACAUAGACUGGAAAUGAAUAUUAACACAAAUUGGGAAUGAGCCAACUGGAGCAAUUAAUUUUUCGUGCUUUGAAUCACCUAGUACAUGUCUAGUUUCCUUUUGUCGCUUUAUUAAUUUAGCUUUUUCCUAAAGUUAUGUUAAGUUUCAGUUGUUGAAAAUUUAGUUGUUAACGUACAUAGGCAUUAGACAUUUGGUGCAUAAGUAUUGUUGCCUUGAACAUUCGUAGUUUAUUUUAGUCUAGUAAAGCCCUUUGGAAUUGAGGUGCGUCAUGCCAAAUAAAAUCAUAAAUUGCACAGCCCUCGCUAAAUUAAUAUUUUUAUCCUUAAAAAUCGAGGAGUGCCAUUUAGCAAGUUUCCAUGGUCCAUGCAUAGUUAACAACGCAUAGUUGCUUUUAGGCGCGUUAUUUAAUAAUGUACCUUCCUAAAAUCGGGUGCAUAUUUAUGUGACCCAAAUUCAUAUCUCAACGUUAGAUAAAAUGUGUUAUGGACUGCGGGUGCAUUUAUGUGAUGUGGUUCGAAACAUAUUUUAAAUGGCAUUGCAAUCUUCCUUUAAUUAAUUAAAUAAAAGUGGUUAAAAAAUUAAAAUUGCACCUAGGCUAAAAAUACUUUAAAAUCAGAUAAUUAUGCCAGUUAUAACAGUUGAGCGACCUUGCUAGAACAGAACUCGAAAGUGCCUAACACAUUCUCCCGGGUAAACAGAAUUUCUUACCCAGAUUUCUUAUUCGCAGACCUUAAUAUAAAGUCAACAUUUUUCUCGAUUCGAGAUUUAAACCGUUGACUUAAGAUACCAUUAAUUAUCCCUAGUGGUAACUUUGAAUUUUUAAAUAAAUAAUCUCGUUUCAAUUGUCACUUUAAGUUGGAAAAACAUCCCUUAUACACCCUUCCGGCGGUAUAGGAAAAAAAGGAGGUGUGAUAGCUCUGGCGACUCAACUGAGGAUCGAACCUAGGAUCUCUGGAUCAGGGUUCGAGAAUUCGAGCUUAGAAUAAUUGUUAUAUUUGGAUUUAUUUAUUAUCUGGUUUUAUUAUAUGUUUGAGCCUCAUGUGCUAAGUGUUGCUUUUUACCGCCUUGAUAUUAUCUGAAUUGUAUAUAAAUUGUUACGAAACCUUUCUCUUCUCAUCUUCGUGAUUUUCUCACUGGUCAAGUCUCCAUAUUCUAUUAGUGUCAUACCUUGAAAUAAGAAAUAGACUCGGACAAGUUACUAAGUAGGAUGGUCUCUUGGUUCCCAGUAUGUAGCUCCCUCCUUGCUCGAGUUGUCCGCUCGGGUACACAAGUCUAGGACAAAUACUCAGGUUUUGAACCUAAAAUAACUCAGCCUCAUGUCGGAUCCCUAAUAGGAACGUUUACUCGUAUCAUUUACACUUUACUUAGGGGACUCAACACAUGGUUGGGUCCGUCUAGGACAGGUAUAUCCCAAAAAAAGACAAUCUUGAUGCAUCUUAUGUACUACAUAUCGUAUUUAUUCAAGGGUAAAAGGGUCAUUUGGCAGACUAAUGAUAGCUGAGGGUAAAUGAAAAAAUAAAAAAAAACAAAUGAAAAGAAAUAAAGAAAAAGAAAGAGAGGAUGAAGUGUGGAAAUAAAGCAAGUAGGGCUUAGUUAUGUUUUGUUACAUUUUUAUUAAGAAAAAGACAAAAAAUGCAUGAAAAAAUCAAAAAGAUUUUGCACUUUUAUUUAUCACGUUUCAAAAAUCAAAAAAACGGAAAAGAAAAUUCAAAAAGAGUUUAUAUUUUUCAUCAUUUUUUUCAAAAAAAUGAACAAAAAAAUAUUUUCUCUAAAAUUAGUUAUUUUUUAAUUCUUGCCCGUCUACAUUUUGCCUUAACUACGCAAACCUGAUUCUCGUCAUUCGGGUUGUGAGAUAUAGGCAACCCACAUAGGGUCCGGUCUUCCUAGUAAAUCUUAGGGUCUUAGCCAAAAUUUUCACUUCUAGCCACCUUUUGGCUAAAUAAGUCAUUUUACAAAAAUAAUCACAGCCAUGUCUUGCAUGUGUUUAAUAGGGAAUAUUAUUGUCUCACAUAGUGUUGGUUUAAGUUUUCUCAUACAGGUGUGGAUCUACUCACCGGAGUUUGAGCAUGAUAGAUACCCCAGGACCACUGCAUUC